rnacentral:rRNA from 1 species
UACGUAGGGUGCGAGCGUUAAUCGGAAUUCCUGGGCGUAAAGCGUGCGCAGGCGGUUCGUUGUGUCGGCGGUGAAAGCCCCGGGCUCAACCUGGGAAUGGCCGUUGAAACUGGCGAACUGGAGUGUGGCAGAGGGGGGUGGAAUUCCGCGUGUAGCAGUGAAAUGCGUAGAGAUGCGGAGGAACACCGAUGGCGAAGGCAGCCCCCUGGGCUAACACUGACGCUCAGGCACGAAAGCGUGGGGAGCAAACAGG